AUUGAACGCUGGCGGCAGGCCUAACACAUGCAAGUCGAACGAGUGGCGGACGGGUGAGUAAUGUCUGGGAAACUGCCUGAUGGAGGGGGAUAACUACUGGAAACGGUAGCUAAUACCGCAUACCAUCAGAUGUGCCCAGAUGGGAUUGGCGAGUUGGUGGGGUAACGGCUCACCAAGGCGACGAUCCCUAGCUGGUCUGAGAGGAUGACCAGCGACACUGGAAGUGAGACACGGCCCAGACUCCGACGGGAGGCAGCGGUGGGGAAUAUUGGCAAAUGGGCGCAAGCUUGAUGCAGCCGUGCGGCGUGUAUGAAGAAGGCCUUCGGGUUGUAAAGUACUUUCAGCGGGGAGGCGUGACCCGCAGAAGAAGCACCGGCUAACUCCGUGCCAGCAGCCGCGGUAAUA
rnacentral:rRNA from 1 species